rnacentral:lncRNA from 1 species
AAAUUAUUUUCAUAUUAAACUUCUUUAAUGAUUGAUAGAUUAUCAAACUACUAAACAAAAUUAGAAUCCAUUAAAUAUAAAUUCUAUUCCUUGAGCUUCCAAAUGUACAAGAAUUACAACAAACUUGGUAACUUCAAUGAUUCCAAUGAAUAUCUUAUAUUAGUUUUAGAAAUCUCAAAUAGGUUGGUAUAUCAACAACUUUCUUUUGUCCCUAUUAGAUUAUUCUUAAAUAUUCGAAGUAGGUCAUAAGAUACAUCAAUCAUCAUAAAUUAUCCACACUCUUCUUGACAGAAGCAAGAAUACUACCUUUACUAUUCUACUACAAAUUCCAUUCUGCAAAAACCUUGAGAUGUAUCUUUUUUAUAUAAAUGUAAAUAAACAACAAUUAUGUCUUUAAAUAUAGCUUUUGGACAUUCAUCCCUAUUCAUCAUCUACAUAUACAAUUAUUAUAGAAGUAGAAUUAAGAUCUAGAAAUAAUAGCCGGACAUCCAACUUCUAAUAUGAAAUUAAUUAUAUUUGUUUUUAGAAAUUAAUAGUCAUAGGUAAAAAUUAGAUAUGUGUGAGCCUAAAAUCCACCACUUUAUGGAUUUAGUACUACACAAUGAGCUCAAGAGGUAGAAUGGAAGAACUCCCAAUUGUGAAAUUGUUAGAUUAAUUAAAAUGUGGGUGUUUGUAAUUCAAUUAAAAUUAACGCCAUAUUUAAAUUAAAAUAUCAGAUGAAAUCCACCACAUAAAAAAAUGAUAAAAGUAAGUAAUUAAAAUUUUCUUAUUAAUUCACAAUAAGAAUAAAAACUUAAGUUUAAAUUAAAAGUUAAAAGUUAAUGUUAAAAGUUAAAGUUAAAAGUUAAAGUUAAAAGUUAAAGUUAAACUUAAAUAUUAAAUUCAAAAGUUAAAGUUCAAAGUUUAAAAAUUUAAGUGAGAAUAUUAUAGGUUAAAAGUUAAGAGUUAAAAUUUAUUAGUCAAAAGUUGAAAUGUGGAGGUUACGAGUUACUGUGAAGAUAAAAGUAAAAAUAAAAUAAGAGGGGUAAAAGCGAAGGUACCUUGACAACGCCAAGGAUUGAAGGCAGCAACCCCCUUCUACUCCAAAAUUCGCCAAAAAUUUUAAUUAGCUCCAAAUUGAAUGAUUCGCAAGUUUUUGCAAAGUUAACUUAUAGGCGCUCCUGCUCCAACAAAUCUCAUUGCAAUCUAGUGAUCCAGUCGUGAGAAUUGCUCCUUUGAAGUUGAGUGAUCCAAACUGCUGCGGCGACCAACCCCCUUCACUUGGAAAUUCGCUAAAAAUUCAAAUUGUCUUCAAAUCCAGCGAAGCUUGUGCCCUUCAAAGCUUAGCUUAUAAAUCUUGAUGCUCCCAAAAUUUCAAACGAAUCCAGUUAUCAGGCACUGAGAAAUGCCUUCCCAAACUCGAUUAAUCCAAACUGCAAAGGCAGUCGACCUCUUCACACUCAAAAUUUCACCAAAAAUUCAGUUCAACUCCAAAUGGAGCGAGCCUUACCUUUUUGGAAAGCUAACAACAAAAGCUACAACCACAAAAAAAAUCACAUUGGAACUAAAACAAUUGAAUGACUGAUGGAGGGAAAUCUGAGGCUCUUGAAACCCUUAGAGUAAUUGGGAGGCCAAGGGAGCUAUUCACCACAAUGAAACGUGUUUUAAGACCCAAUGACUAUCAUUCACAACUUGAAAUCCAUGCACACCCACCCACAAAAUUCACAAUGAGAUUUAAAAUCUAAAUAAAAUUAAAAUUAGGGUUUUUGGCCAAAUUUUAGCAUGGCUUUGCCCUUCACCAAAAGAGGAGAGAGAGAGGGCUUGGAAAACCAGGCCUUUCUUAAACAAUUGCCUGGAGGCUCGUAGAAGGGUGACUACAUCUCCACCCUUGAUUUUUCAGAUCCCUAAUCUAAAUCUACGG